CUUACUCCUCCCACUGCAUUUCCACCGCUGGCCCUAUAUUUGCAAAUGACCCUGAGCUGUUUGGGGGCUACAGCUCCCAUCACCUCCAGCCACACUGGCCAAUAGCAGGGAGGCUGGGAGCCAUGGUGCAACAGCAGCUGGGUGGCCAAAGCUGUGCAGCCAUAUGCAGAUGGCAGAGAGACAUUACUCACUUGACACUUUGGAGUAGAUUUCUAUCUUUCCCAGGCAUUUUUCUGCAGAGACAGAAUCAGAGAGUCAGAGCUGGAAGGGUCCAUAGAGAUCAUCCAGGCUCACCUUCGGCAUUACAACCCCCCACCCCCAAUGAUGUUCUUCUAGCAGUUUCCCCAACAGUGAGGAGGUAAGGAGAUCCCACAAGCUAUCCGUAUAAUUCUUACAAUUAGGAAGUCUUUUCUGGUAUCAGUCCACCACCUGCUUUGCUUUCAAAUAACCCCAUUGCCUCUGAUCCAUCCUUGUGUUCAAAGAAACACUUUAGGACAGCUCAGAGCAACAAAAGGAGAAGUGCUAACACUGAUGGAAGAGACAUCAACGUUGAAAUAAACUGAAGGAUAAAGGUGCCUUUGAGAUGGUAAAGUUGGUGCGCUUCUCACCCAUCUGUGGAAACAUACAGAGAACCCUCCAAGCAACAGACUCUCUUAAGGCAGGACUGGGUCCCCAGGCAAGAGGUUUAGUAUAUUUGGGGCUUCGGAUUUGAAUGCUGAAGGUUGCCAGGAGGAAAGGGAGGAUAGCAGACAAACCCACUAAUGUCUCAGAAGAGCUUCUUAGGAAGUGUGUGUGUGGGGGGGGGGGGAUCUGUUUAUGCAAGAUGCAGAACCUCAAAGGUCACUAGGACUUCAUUGUCAACGUGUACUGGACUCCAGGAAAAAAAACUGAAAGGAAAGGACUCAUCUGUGGGUUGCUUGAACGGAGGAGAUAAUGUGGAGGAGUGCAGUGCUGGGGAGGAAAGCCCCAGCAAGCCACGUGGGGUCAGGCAAGCAACAGGGCAAGCGGUGAUGACAAACCCUAAGUGGAUGUAGCAGCUGGAUAUGGGAGUUUGAUAAUACUCCCUUGUCAUGGACAGAUCAUUAUUUGGUGGGGUUUAGUUUGACUGCUUUGUCUACCCUCUGCAGGGGUGGUGGACCAAUUAGAAUGGGCCACACCCGAAGACUUCUGGAUCUGCUUGGUUUCCAGACCAGUGGAUUGUUUCUGGUGUCCAGAGCUGGCGAAUCUGUUGAGGCCCUGGUGAAUCUCUGGAAUGUGGAGACAGCCCAAACUAUUGACAAGAACCAGCAGUAUAAUAAAUGCCACUACGACAAAUGCCAGAAUAGUUCCUACGUUGACCCCAAAAAGUACCGAGGCUGAAAGAGGACAAACACAUGUCAACUCAAGACUGGUAGCAACUCACCAGGGACCCAGCCAAAGAUUAUGAGAACCUUGAAGCUGCUGUGAACAUAACAUAAGAACAGCCCUGCUGGAUCAGGCCCAAGGCCCAUCUAGUCCAGCAUCCUGUUUCUCACAGUGGCCCACCAGAUGCCUCUGGGGAGCCCACAGGCAAGAGGCAGGACUUCCAUUUUCUGAAGGAAGUCGUCUUCCCUUUGAUAGCUUCGCUGACUCUACUUGUUAACCAUGCUGGCAUCCUUCUGAACUUGGUGGUACUCUUCCUCCUUUUUGGUAUACAUUCCAAGUGCACCUCGAACUAUGCACCAUCUUCAUGCAAAGACAUGUUCCACCCCUGACCUAUGCAGUUUUCCCAUCACAGAAUCCUCUCCUCCUCAUGAAAACCCAUCAGAGCCCAGCACUGCGGGACUUCAGGGAACCUAUCAAUGCUGCUUUUAAAAAAAGUUAUUAUUAAAAAGGCUUUUUUGAACGU